ensembl:lncRNA
UUGCAGGAGAGGGUCCAAAAUGCGUGCACGUGGUGUAGUUUGCACUUAGUGGAAAUGCAAAUUGGAUUGGCACAUCCUGGCAGAGCUAAAGUUGCCAAUGGAAAAAAAAAGUCUCAGCAGGGGAGAAUGACUGACAGUGCUCCAUAGAGAGCUGUUUGGAGAUGUAGAAACUGGAGAAAAAAAACCUCUGCAGCAAUAAACAGGAUAAGAGACGUAGCAGAAGGCCCUGUCUCUCCCUUACCUGCUGGGAUGAACGUGAUACAGUGUAACACUCCCACACUCCACCCACAACGGCAACGGCCUCUGCCUCCGGCACGGAACCGGCCCCGACCCGGCCCAAACCAGGCCCUGAGCUUCGUGUAACAAGGUGCACAUUGUUUAGAGGCCAGGUUCCCUACUGUCUACACCCCGAGUAUGCGGCACAGAGACGCGGUUAUAUAAUGUUGCAC